rnacentral:lncRNA from 1 species
UCAAUAGUCCCCUAAAAUUUAAAAUAUCAUAAAUAUAUUCUUAAACUCAAGAAAUAAUUAUAAAUAUCCUUCUUAAUAACUUGAGCAAUACUACACAUACAUCCCAAAGAAUGUAUAUCAUACAUCCCAUUCAUUUUAGGAUGAAAAUUUUUUUAGGGUAAACUUCAAAUACCACCUGUGGUUUCGCACUUUCCCACUUUAGUACCUUGUGAUUUAAAGUGUAUCAAUUUAGUAUCCUGUGUUUUCAUUUUCCUCUUUUCGUCGGCCCCUCCGUUAACUUUUCAUUAAAUCAUAUACAAAAAACUUCAGAUACUCCACCUAUAGUUUAUCGAAUAUUCACUUUAGUACUCUUUAGUCUUAACUUUGUCACUGAUGUAAUGAAAAAAAUUAUUGAAUGGGAUAACAAAAAGAGAAAAAUAAAAUCACAGGGCACGAAAGUGAUACACUUCAAACCACAUGAUACUAAAGUGAAAAAGUGCGAAACCACAGAGAUGGUAUUUGAAGUUUUUUUC